AUGAUUUGCAACUGUUAAUAUAUAUCAAAACAAAGGUAAAUCGAUUACCAUUCUUUUGAUGAUAACAUUGUUAAAAUCGAUUAACUAAUUUAUACAAAUUUUGCAACUUUUGAAAACGUCUAUAUAUAAGUCGAAAAAAC